ensembl:lncRNA
CCUAAAAGUCGCUAGAAGUCGCUAAAUGACGUCAUCGCCUAAUUUGCAUAAUUGGUCACGCUAACGUAAUUGUAACCUACGUUGUUGGAGAGAGAAAUAACAUCAUGGAAGAGACAUAAACCCAAAGAUCGAAAGAAUUGGGAGAUUUUAACAACUUGGUGCCGUGACCCGGAUCUUUGGCGUGCUGAGGAGGGGCAGAUUUGGCCUGUGGUGAGAUCGUGGGGCGAGGCGAGCAGAGGACCGGUCCAAACAAAAGGUGGCUACGGACCUGGACCAACCGCUCACCACAAGCACAGCGGCCGAAGCAAAAUUAUAGUAAU